rnacentral:rRNA from 1 species
CAGCACCUCAAGUGGUCAGGAGGAUUAUUGGGCCUAAAGCAUCCGUAGCCGGCUCUGUUAGUUUUCGGUUAAAUCUAUACGCUCAACGUAUGGGCUGCCGGGAAUACUGCAAAGCUAGGAAGUGGGAGAGGUAGACGGUACUCCGUAGGAAGGGGUAAAAUCCUUUGAUCUAUGGAUGACCACCUGUGGCGAAGGCGGUCUACCAGAACACGUUCGACGGUGAGGGAUGAAAGCUGGGGGAGCAAACCGGAUUAGAUACCCGAGUAGUCC